UGGAAAUCAUAAAAAAAAAACAAAUGGAGUGAAAAUGGAGGGAGUUUCUCAUUUAUACAGUGAGAUAAA